rnacentral:ncRNA from 1 species
GCGUGGGUCGGCCCACUGCGAUGGAACCAGUGGGCUGGGGGACACUGCCGCCUCAUUCCCCGCAGGCGGUGGACCGGUCCGGGAGGCGUCGGAACGCCUCCCGGACCGUG